rnacentral:snoRNA from 1 species
AACCCAUGGUGAGGGCACCUUCUCAAAAAAUCCUUGUAUCUCUCCCAUGCAUCGUAGAGUGUUUUUAAAUCCAUCUGCACAAAAGAGGAGAUAUCAUUAUGUAAUU